GGGAAUCUUAAGCAUAUCAAUAAGCGGAGGAAAAGAAACUAACAAGGAUUCCCCUAGUAACUGCGAGUGAAGCGGGAAAAGCUCAAAUUUAAAAUCUGGCAGUCUUUGGCUGUCCGAGUUGUAAUCUGGAGAAGUGCUUUCUGCGCUGGACCGUGUACAAGUCUCUUGGAAUAGAGCGUCAUAGAGGGUGAGAAUCCCGUCUUUGACACGGACUACCAGUGCUUUGUGAUGUGCUUUCAAAGAGUCGAGUUGUUUGGGAAUGCAGCUCAAAAUGGGUGGUAAAUUCCAUCUAAAGCUAAAUAUUGGCGAGAGACCGAUAGCGAACAAGUACCGUGAGGGAAAGAUGAAAAGCACUUUGGAAAGAGAGUUAAACAGUACGUGAAAUUGCUGAAAGGGAAACACUUGAAGUCAGUCGCGUUGUUCAGAACUCAGCCUGGCCUUGGCUUGGUGCAUUUUCUGAAUGACGGGCCAGCAUCAAUUUUGACUGUUGGAUAAAGGCCAGAGAAAUGUGGCUCCUUUGGGAGUGUUAUAGUCUCUGGUUGCAUACAAUGGUUGGGAUUGAGGAACUCAGCAUGCCUUUACGGUCGGGGUUCGCCCACGUUCAUGCUUAGGAUGCUGGCGUAAUGGCUUUAAAUGACCCGUCUUGAAACACGGACCAAGGAGUCUAACAUGCCUGCGAGUAUUUGGGUGGAAAACCCGAGUGCGCAAUGAAAGUGAAAGUUGGGAUCUCUGUCGUGGGGAGCACCGACGCCCGGACCAGACCUUCUGUGACGGAUCCGCGGUAGAGCAUGUAUGUUGGGACCCGAAAGAUGGUGAACUAUGCCUGAAUAGGGUGAAGCCAGAGGAAACUCUGGUGGAGGCUCGUAGCGAUUCUGACGUGCAAAUCGAUCGUCAAAUUUGGGUAUAGGGGCGAAAGACUAAUCGAACCCUUUUGCCC
rnacentral:rRNA from 1 species